GAUCGGCCACAUUGGAACUGAGACACGGUCCAAACUCCUACGGGAGGCAGCAGUGGGGAAUAUUGCACAAUGGGCGAAAGCCUGAUGCAGCAACGCCGCGUGAGGGAUGAAGGCCUUCGGGUCGUAAAACUCUGUCCUCAAGGAAGAUAAUGACGGUACUUGAGGAGGAAGCCCCGGCUAACUACGUGCCAGCAGCCGCGGUAAUACGUAGGGGGCUAGCGUUAUCCGGAUUUACUGGGCGUAAAGGGUGCGUAGGCGGUCUUUCAAGUCAGGAGUGAAAGGCUACGGCUCAACCGUAGUAAGCUCUUGAAACUGGGAGACUUGAGUGCAGGAGAGGAGAGUGGAAUUCCUAGUGUAGCGGUGAAAUGCGUAGAUAUUAGGAGGAACACCAGUUGCGAAGGCGGCUCUCUG
rnacentral:rRNA from 1 species